rnacentral:rRNA from 1 species
UACGUAGGUGGCAAGCGUUACUCGGAAUCACUAGGCGUAAAGCGCAGGUAGGCGGUUCGGUAAGUCUGUUGUGAAAGCUCCCGGCUCAACUGGGAGAGGCCAACGGAAACUACCGGGCUAGAGUGUGGUAGAGGAAGCUGGAAUUCCCGGUGUAGCGGUGAAAUGCGUAGAGAUCCGGAGGAACACCAACGGCGUAGGCAGCGCCCUAGACGAGACCUGACGCUCAGGCACGAAAGCUCGGGGAGCGAACAGG